rnacentral:rRNA from 1 species
GACGAACGCUGGCGGCGUGCUUAACACAUGCAAGUCGAACGCUGAAGCUUGGUGCUUGCCCUGGGUGGAUGAGUGGCGAACGGGUGAGUAACGCGUGGGAACGUGCCCUUUGCUUCGGAAUAGCCCUGGGAAACUGGGAGUAAUACCGGAUGAGCCCUUUGGGGGAAAGAUUUAUCGGCGAAGGAUCGGCCCGCGUUGGAUUAGGUAGUUGGUGGGGUAAUGGCCUACCAAGCCGACGAUCCAUAGCUGGUUUGAGAGGAUGAUCAGCCACACUGGGACUGAGACACGGCCCAGACUCCUACGGGAGGCAGCAGUGGGGAAUCUUAGACAAUGGGGGAAACCCUGAUCUAGCCAUGCCGCGUGAGCGAUGAAGGCCUUAGGGUUGUAAAGCUCUUUCAGCUGGGAAGAUAAUGACGGUACCAGCAGAAGAAGCCCCGGCUAACUCCGUG